AUCAACGUCACCAUUAUAAUUUAUUGAUUCUAGGCUUAAACAUGGAUAUUUACGAAGAUGAGAGGGGCACUGGGAUUUUUCCAUGUGUUAGCUGGUGGCCGAAGAACUACCGUGAAAGUCACUCCACGCGUGGUUGAUCGGUCUCGCAAUUUUCUUUGGGCGGUUUUUGCAACUUUUUCAAACCGGUUUUCAACCCCAGAAUUUUUUACUUUUCACAAACGCCAAUUUGUUUCGGUGAAGACGAUUGUCGGGCCCUUGGUGUGACCUUCAGAUUGCUGGGUUCGAGAGGAAUUGUCAGGCGAGUAGAACAGUAAAAUGAAGCGGCA